AAGUCGUAACAAGGUUUCCGUAGGUGAACCUGCGGAAGGAUCAUUAACACAUCCUUUUCUAUAUCAUGCCUUGUCGCACUGGGAACCAUCAUGAAGGAAGGCCGGGAAGUGCAACGGAUUGAUUUAUGACUUGUUCAUAACUGGCCUACAGGAUAGCGGACAACCCUUGUGGUUGAGCUGCAGCUUUCUUUAUGGUGGCAUACAGCGUCAAUUCCUCGCUGGACCUUUUUUUUUAAACCUUGAAUUAAUGUUUUGAAUUGGCUGGGAUCGAGAAGGGCUCUCUGAGUCUGCCUCUCUUGGCUUUUGAUGGAGAAAUCCAUUCAAUAACUAAAACACAACUCUUAACAGCGGAUAUCUCGGUUCUC
rnacentral:misc_RNA from 1 species